CCGGAAACGGUAGCUAAUACCGGAUACGACUUUUCUGCAUAAGCAGUUAAGUUAAAAGGCGGAUUUAUCUGCCGCUCAUGGAUGGGCCUGCGGUGCAUUAGCUAGUUGGUGAGGUAGUGGCUCACCAAGGCGACGAUGCAUAGCCGACCUGAGAGGGUGAUCGGCCACACUGGGACUGAGACACGGCCCAGACUCCUACGGGAGGCAGCAGUAGGGAAUCUUCCGCAAUGGACGCAAGUCUGACGGAGCAACGCCGCGUGAGUGAUGAAGGGUUUCGGCUCGUAAAACUCUGUUGUUAAGGAAGAACACUUGAGGUAGUAACUGGCCUUGAGAUGACGGUACUUAACCAGAAAGCCACGGCUAACUACGUGCCAGCAGCCGCGGUAAUACGUAGGUGGCAAGCGUUAUCCGGAAUUAUUGGGCGUAAAGCGCGCGUAGGCGGUAAAAUAAGUCUGAUGUGAAAGCCCCCGGCUCAACCGGGGAGGGUCAUUGGAAACUGUCUUACUUGAGUACAGAAGAGGAGAGUGGAAUUCCAUGUGUAGCGGUGAAAUGCGCAGAGAUAUGGAGGAACACCAGUGGCGAAGGCGGCUCUCUGGUCUGUAACUGACGCUGAGGUGCGAAAGCGUGGGGAUCAAACAGGAUUAGAUACCCUGGUAGUCCACGCCGUAAACGAUGAGUGCUAAGUGUUGGGGGGUUUCCGCCCCUCAGUGCUGCAGCUAACGC
rnacentral:rRNA from 1 species